AGGCAGUUAGUAUAAACAAUACAACUAAUUUCGACUUAGUUACUCCAGAGUCGGACUCUGGACUGCUAU
rnacentral:tRNA from 1 species